GAAGCUUCUCUAUAUAUUUGUGCGAGUUUUACGUCAGACCCAGCGGUUUUAUACAGCUCACGAACACGGUUCAAAACAACUCAUACUAGGCCCAUUUGUAAACAGCGAAAUGGGUCUAAUAAUUUACGUGUUGAAUAUUAGUCCAGUUGAAAACUCUGGCGUGGAGACGACAGUUGACUUUAAACUUGUGGAUGGCGUAGGUCGGUAGACGCAUCGGCAAUAGAUCCUGUCCAGGGGUAACACGGCGGAUUAAAACGCCCGUGUUUCGACACGCGAACUCCGGCUUUCUGUUUUGCGCUACAACCGCAUAGUACGACACUAAUUUCGUACAACUGGACUGAAAUAUUUUAAUUAGAUUUGCCUCGAGAGAAGAAACCAACGGAGUGUAAUUCAAGGAUGACAGCUGUCGUCAAGACGCCGGGGGUAAUUCGUCCGUUGGAUCCACUUUUAUACAGUCAGACAUUAUUUCAGUACUUCGUAGACACAUACUUGAAUCGCUCUGAUGACUGAGGCAGUAUGACCUCAGAAACGUUGGUUAACAUCGACCUGAUUCCAC